rnacentral:rRNA from 1 species
UACGAAGGGGGCUAGCGUUGCUCGGAGUCACUGGGCGUAAAGCGCGCGUAGGCGGCUUGUUAAGUCAGGGGUGAAAUCCUGGAGCUCAACUCCAGAACUGCCUUUGAUACUGGCGAUCUCGAGUUCGGGAGAGGUGAGUGGAACUGCGAGUGUAGAGGUGAAAUUCGUAGAUAUUCGCAAGAACACCAGUGGCGAAGGCGGCUCACUGGCCCGAUACUGACGCUGAGGUGCGAAAGCGUGGGGAGCAAACAGG